ensembl:snoRNA
CUGGUUACAUGAUGAGUAAAACAAAAAAUCACCAUCUUUCGGCUGACAACCGUGAUGAUUUGUUUUUAUCUGAGUAGAUACCAG